rnacentral:lncRNA from 1 species
AUUCGUCUGGAGAACUCUAAUACAACAAGGCCCUCUUGACUCUUCAAGUCUGUGUUAGGAGCUCUUCCUACACUUUCUCGUAGCAUUGUGUGCAGUUCCUAGCAUAGAGAUCAUCGUAGUGAUCUACGUAAAUGUAUAUGGCCCUACAUUUGUCAUCUACCACAAAAGCUAUGGUUUUCCUGAACUUAAUCCUCUGGAUCUUCAGAGCAGAGAAAGUAUUCAAGAGAAAUGACAAAAAGACUGAGAAUCUCUGAGGUCCUUGGGUUUCCAGAGGUAUUCCUGCAAGGAACAGUCAAGCAGCAUCAAACCUUCAGACCUUCUGAAACAGCCUGGUUCCUCCCAGCACUGGGUCUGGUUCUGCCGCCCUCCUUUCCAACAUGUCACGUCAGUCAUCCUCCCAACAAAUUCAGUAGUUGGUUAAGCAAGCCAUAUACAGUGUUAGUUGACUGAAAUCAAAGCUCUAUAGCUAAUACCAGAGGAAAGCAAAGUUCUGAUUUUCAUAAGGUUUUGAAUGCUGUGCUAUGGAUUUUGGACUUUAUUUUGAAGGCAAUAAAGAUUGUAAUAAAGAUAGUAGCAUGAGUGAACUGGUUAAGAGAUUUGCCAAAAUGUCUAGCCAUUCAACUUCGUAAGUAUAUGAAAUUCUCCAUAGAAGUAUAAUGUUAAAUAAGUGGCCUUCAGUAAGGCAAAAACAAACAAACAAAAAAAUAGAUAGCUGCUCUUUCUAUUUCUGUUACUAUUAAAGAAAAUGUAGCUUUCCAAAUGACUUAAUUUUACUCAUGAAUGAAUGAAUAUUGAGUUAAUAACACUCUCCAUACUUUCCCUUUUUUAUAUAUAUAUAACUUGAGAUAAUAAUUGCUACUUAAAGUAGGAUGUUUAUAAAUACAUGGCAGUACUGUGUAUGCUUUCUUCUUUGUGGUUUUUAUAUGCUUUUAUACGUUCUGUGUAUGAAUGUUGAGGAGAACUUCUUUUAGAAUUAGUUAGAAUAAACUUGUUCAUUCUGAAAGC